ACAGAGCGGAACAACAACUCUCCAUUUUCCCGCCUUUCCCCAAGUUGCACAAAUAACAUAACAAUCCGACAUCUGCUUACACUCGCCUGGGCCAGAGGAGAGUCGAGUGAGGGGACAGAACGCACGCGCACCUAUAUUCAAGAGGUGCUUCCUGAGAGAAAGGAGCGUUCGGAUUGUCCGUCUACAGGUCUUGGUCGCUCCCAGAGCAGAAAGCCCUUGUGAUGUCAGGAAAAGAAGGCACAGGAAAUUGUCGAGGGACUAGGACAUGGUGUGACAGAGGACGGGGCUCUCUUCUCCCGCUGCAGCCUGUCGUGAACUUGAGCGUUACUGGACCAGGGGCGUGCUAUCCCAGCUGCACAAAUGUUACUGCCCGGGCGACGCGGGCUUUUUCUCAUCCUUUUCAUUGUUUUCCCGGACUGCACCACCGUGAGCCACAGUCCUUGUCCUUGCCCAAAAUUUCGAGGAACCAAAUGAGGUUUUCAUAGAGAUGACGCCCGUCAGAGGCUGUUUAGAAACUGGAAAUGAAACCAAAGGUAUACAUCUCUAGAUAGUUGAAUUCUUACAAAGGGCAGGGCUUUGUUUUAUGGAAAAGACUAGGUAUUUGCCUUUAAUUUCGGGUUUAUGCAACAUUUUGUUUCAGACGUCUUUCCUUGAAAUAUAUGCAGACUUCAGCAAAAUGGACACAGCCUAGCUUUUAGAAGAACUUCCUUCCUUAAAUUGAACUUUUGCCUACGUGGUCCUGUCGUUGUUGUUGUUUUUCAGAUUUAUUUAAAUAGAGGCAAUAAUUACUUGUAUUCAAACAGUGAUCUGCGGGGCAGAAGAUCUUUUUUACUCCGAAAAGGCAACCUUAGUUUGGUCAAGUGAUCAGACACCCGGCAAAAACAAUCACCUUGGAUUCGUUUGCAUACGAAAGGAGAACGAAUGUGACUUGAAAAGGCUUCUCGGGAAAUCUGAAAGGACAGGUGGGGUUAAUUCCAAACUGCUGAAUCCUAACGAGGCUGAGACUCGAGUUUCCCGGGACGAGGCCCUAGACUGCACGCCGGGCCGGGCUGCGCUGUGCGCGCAGCACCCUGGCCCCCACCCUCUCUGGUCCCUGCCCGCCUGGCAUCCCCGUGGCCGCCGCGGGGAGCCCGUCUUCCCUUCCGGCAGCGGCCGGCGCUGCACCUGCUGCGGGUCUCCAUCAGGGGCGCCCGCGCGUAUCCGGACGCCAGGUCGCCCCCUGUGGCGCCGGGCCCUGUGCUCUCCGCGGCGCACACUCGCCAUGCGUGGCUUCCAGAUGCUUCGUCCGUUCACCCCAACGCGCCCAGGGAACGACUCGAUGUUUCUGGACUGGUGGCAAGCGCGUUCUCCGAACAGCGUGCGUCGAGAGCCCCUUCGGGGUCAGCGCGUCCCGGACCCAGGAGCCGCACCACUUGCCUCGAGCGCCACCGCCUGGCCAAAACGGGAACCACCUCUGCCCGUCGCGGAGGCGCGUCUUGAAAACUGGCCAGACGGGGUUUUUCUAGUUUCUGAACAAUCCCCGCCUUGAUCCAUUUUCUGUAGAGUGACCCUGAUGGAUAUUCUCGCUUACGAAUGCAGGCUCUGUUUGGGGUAUAAUGUUGGUGACACCUCGUCCCAUGGAAGAAUGAGCUCAAUCUUUUGAGAAGACCAGAAGUCAGUUAGUGAUUCAUGCGAGGAAUAAAGUGAGUUGUCCAGGUGGUGUUAUGAACCGGGGAAGACUUUCUCAAGAGAUAUGGAUGGAUUUAUGAAGAGCCCUCGAGCAGUUACUUCCCUUUGACCAAGUAAUUUUGCUCUUGGGAACAUAUCCAAGGACACAGUACCAGGAGCACAGACUUCCAUGUGUUGUGAUCCAAACUUUGUAAGAAGGAUCAAAAACGUGUCUUCAAAGAUGCAGACCUGCUGGGAAACCAUAGAGACGUGAAGUUUGCUGACUCCUGUUCCAGAACAUCACGGAAGACAGCUGCACGGCUUUUAUAAAUAUGCUGCGUGUAUUAAAUCACAAGUAAUCCUCGGAGUGUGGUCGGUGGUCUUCCUCAAGUCUGGUGCUAGGAGCGCCUGAGGUAACACCAGGAAGGGUACCAACCAGAGGUCUCCAGAUGAUGGUGCCUGCAGUGGACAGGACCCUGGCACAGCACCUCUUCCGAGUUUGGGUUGGGCUCUCUCUCUGCUGCACUAUAUCUACACAGGACAAAAAAAAAAAUGGAGGAGGAGAGCCUGGAGGUGUUAUAAAGAUCUUUAGUGACAAAGAAAGCCUAGUAUGUGACAAAACCACAAAGGGACAGAGACCUUUAGCUCCUCCUUUGACUUCCUACCUGUUACGGGUUGAAUUGUGCUCCCUGCUCUCCUCACAUUCACUCGUUGAAACCCUAACCCCAGCACCUCAGAAUGUCAUCUUAUUUGGAGACAGAGUUUUUACAGAGGUCAUUAAGACAUAAUGAGGUCAUUAGGGUGGCCCCAAUCCAAUAAGACUGGUGUCCUUAUCAGAAGAGGAGAUUAGAACACAGACAGUCGGCCCUCCUGCCCACAUCUUGUGGCCUGCAGAGCCGUGAGAAAGUAAUUCUGUUGUCUUAAUCCAGCCAGCCUGUGGUAUUUUGUUACGGCAGCCGAACUGACUAAUACAUCACCUCAUUCGGUGUCGGGGUGAAAUUGUGCUUCAUAUACAGAUGUUUUUCUCUGUGAAUCAUCUCACCUCUCUUGUCUAAUUGUUCACAGAUUUUGUAUAAGCGAUGGCGUAUAUUUGAAGUGAAAGAAAUAGCACCGAUGAAGGGCAGAGAGCUUUCCAAAAGUCAUCCAGCUGGUCCUUGGGAUGUUGCGAGUAAUUUACGAUGGACAAAGCUGGGCAGCUGUUCUGCUUUUUAAACCUCACUCUCUUCCACAGCGGGCAGAAAAUUACUCUAAGAGGCGAUUCUUCAAAGAUUUGUCUUGUUCUUUUCCAAAAGACGUCACAAAAAGAUUGUCUUUAUAUCGGGGGGUGAUUUGAACGGUCUCCUCCCUGGCUCAGUUCGGCCCAUUUUUGUCUCUACCCCAUCUUCCGGGCUCUCGUCAAACCAAUAACAUACACGCCCGAGGACGAAUUGAUGAUUUUUGUGCAGAUUGUUAAAAAUAGUGCAACUGUGGGCAGAGGAGCGACCAUGGGAAGUGAUUCACUUCCUCUGGCCAGCUUCUCGGACACCUACCAACCCCCGAGAAAUAGAAAUAAUAGAAAUCAUGCUGACGAAACAUGGCAGGUCAUUGCUAGGCUGGACCCGGUCAGUCAGGUGGGCGGGCAACCACGCGGGGCAAACCUGAGCUCAUUACCACUGAGGGCAAAGUGACUUGCUCAAGAGAUGAUCUAACACCAUGCCUUGAUUUCCCAUUUCUGGCAGCGGCUGACCCCACCUCAGAUGCGUUUCUGCCUGGCACCAAGACCGUCUUUGAAGUCUGGGUUCAUGCCUAACUUCCACUCCGUAAAUCAGUUCUCUCUAGCAUUUAAAUGGUACGGUUGAUGGACUCUAACUACGACAGAGAUACUUUCCCCUCGGCUUUUGGGGACACAGUGGGGGAAGGGGAUGGGGUGGUGGCAGGACUUCCGCUGGUGGUCCUCGGUCCAGUUCCAAUGGACCCUUCGUGGUGGUCCGACCCUUCCUACCUGGUCUUGGUCACAGGCUGCGUUGGCUUCUCUUAAGACAGUGGUAUGCCCAGACAAGAAUCAUUGGAAUGAUUUUGAGCCUUAUCUGGCAUUUGACAGAUAAACCUUCUCCAGUGAGGUCUCGUGAAUGUGCACCGCUUCUGGGGGGUCUUCCCCAUCCUCCACUCAGGAAAUAGAAGAGGGCUCAGAGGCCCCGUGGGCUGUUAGGAAACUUCCCUACCCCACCCCCAGCCCGAGAAAAACGUGAUUUUACCCAGGGCAUUAAAAGUUGGAGCUGUACACGGAAAGGCUCCUGCCUGGUGUGUCUGGGCCCUCGGACCCAUUUCUUCUUCAUUACUAUUAUUCCCAACAAAAUGUGCCAUACGUUAUUAUUCAACUAAAUCUAUAAACUUGAGUGAAGAAUAAUUGGUUUGGAAGGAUGUAAGUAUAUAUUUUCAAAAGUCACCCAAUGCAGAUUUCUGGAAACAAGGUGGGUUAAAAAUAAACAGACAAAAUGAGCAACCAAAUCACAACAACCACGAAAAAUCCAUCAAGGGCCGAGUCGCUUAUGAUGUUUUGGAAAAAUAAUUUUUAAAUGUUGAAGAAUUUUUAAAAAUAUCUUCCACACAAAGCCGAGUGUGUUCAUUCCACGUUCUAAAGAGCUUUGUGCAAGCGGAUAAAAAGGGAGCAAGGAAGAGAUACGGGGAGAGGGAGAGAUACGGAGUUGGAGUUGGAUGAAGUGGGAAAUGAGACCAGACAGACAGACAGGAUGAUUGUGGAAGAG